UACCAGCUGGCUGCAACUGUUUAUUAAAAACACAGCACUGUGCAAACACGAAAGUGGACGUAUACGGUGUGACGCCUGCCCGGUGCCGGAAGGUUAAUUGAUGGGGUCAGCGCAAGCGAAGCUCCUGAUCGAAGCCCCGGUAAACGGCGGCCGUAACUAUAACGGUCCUAAGGUAGCGAAAUUCCUUGUCGGGUAAGUUCCGACCUGCACGAAUGGCGUAAUGAUGGCCAGGCUGUCUCCACCCGAGACUCAGUGAAAUUGAACUCGCUGUGAAGAUGCAGUGUACCCGCGGCAAGACGGAAAGACCCCGUGAACCUUUACUAUAGCUUGACACUGAACAUUGAGCCUUGAUGUGUAGGAUAGGUGGGAGGCUUUGAAGCGUGGACGCCAGUCUGCGUGGAGCCGACCUUGAAAUACCACCCUUUAAUGUUUGAUGUUCUAACGUGGACCCGUAAUCCGGGUUGCGGACAGUGUCUGGUGGGUAGUUUGACUGGGGCGGUCUCCUCCUAAAGAGUAACGGAGGAGCACGAAGGUUGGCUAAUCCUGGUCGGACAUCAGGAGGUUAGUGCAAUGGCAUAAGCCAGCUUGACUGCGAGCGUGACGGCGCGAGCAGGUGCGAAAGCAGGUCAUAGUGAUCCGGUGGUUCUGAAUGGAAGGGCCAUCGCUCAACGGAUAAAAGGUACUCCGGGGAUAACAGGCUGAUACCGCCCAAGAGUUCAUAUCGACGGCGGUGUUUGGCACCUCGAUGUCGGCUCAUCACAUCCUGGGGCUGAAGUAGGUCCCAAGGGUAUGGCUGUUCGCCAUUUAAAGUGGUACGCGAGCUGGGUUUAGAACGUCGUGAGACAGUUCGGUCCCUAUCUGCCGUGGGCGCUGGAAGACUGAGGGGGGCUGCUCCUAGUACGAGAGGACCGGAGUGGACGCAUCACUGGUGUUCGGGUUGUCAUGCCAAUGGCACUGCCCGGUAGCUAAAUGCGGAAAAGAUAAGUGCUGAAAGCAUCUAAGCACGAAACUUGCCCCGAGAUGAGUCUUCCCUGAGACUUUGAGUCUCCUGAAGGAACGUUAAAGACGAUGACGUUGAUAGGCCGGGUGUGUAAGCGCAGCGAUGCGUUGAGCUAACCGGUACUAAUGAACCGUGAGGCUUAACCUUACAACGCCG
rnacentral:rRNA from 1 species